rnacentral:lncRNA from 1 species
CGGAGCGCGCCCAGUCGGCCCUGCCUCGCCGCGCCCCCGCCCCUGGGCUCUGGGAACGCGCGGUCCCGCUAGCCUGAAGACCAGCUGAUGGCCGCGGAGCCCACUCGGUAUCUGCACCAGCUAGGCCCCUGGCCCCCAGAGCUGGCCGUUACUGCACUGUCUCUACUCCCGGCUUUAAACAGGAGGAAGGGAGCUGAACGGAACCUUCGAGCUUUUGUGCCUGCCUGACUGCCUUCGAUGAUAGACUGUAAUGUAGGAAUACAAGUGAAGUCAACGCUUCCCUACCCAGAUGCUUCUGCUCAUUCAUCGCGGUUUAUCGAAUCAAUAGGAAGCCCAAGACACCAGCCUAGGAGAAAGGUCAUGGCGGCUGGAAAUGGCAACACCACAGACACAGACUGUCCAGCACAUCACAGGAUCAUGGGCCCCGAUGCUGAGAAUGGAGCUGCAGGAUUUAACGUUUGUCUUGCUAUGCUUUGGUCUUGUUUCACUUAAAUCCUUCCCUGUCAUUUCUUUUUCCUGUUGGAAUGAAGAUGCUUACUCUGUGCAGUAUUGUAUUUCAGAAGUACAUAACUUCAUUUUUGAUAUUACAGAAGCUCAAGAAACUAAAUUUAGACUCUGUGUGUGUGUGUGUGUGUGUGUGUGUGUGUGUACCAAGCACUCUACUUGAUUUUUCUAAAACAGGGUUUCUUACUGAACCUGGAGCUUGCAGUUUCAGGUAGACUGGAAGGCCAGGGAACCCUGGCCUGUCUCUGUCCCUUCCACCAACACUAGGACAAUAGGCAUAUAUUGCCAUGCCCAGCCUAUACAUGAGUGCUAGAUAUCUGAACACAAGUCCCUGGGCCUGCACAGCAAGCACUUUAUCUACUGAGCCAUCUUUCCAGUCCCACAUUUAAACUUUUUGAACAGCUGGGCAUGGGGAGGAAGGUGGGCAAAGGUCACUCCAACUGGGCCUAUAAAGUGCUUAGCCACAAAGACUGACCCUAAGUCUGAGGUAGAGAAAGACACUUUAAAGGGAAAUAGGGGAAGAACAAUAGAAGCUGACAGUCAGCUGCCUAGCUAAUGGCAGUCUAGCUCAUACUGGUUGACUCCAUUCACCAGUCAGCACAGAUUCACAAGUCACUAGGAGCCAGUGGCUCUCAUGAGGCAGGGACAUCCAGGUAAGUCACAGGGUCGGAGAAGGGGCCUGGCCGGGCCCAGUAAUCCAAUGCUCGAACUCGGUAGGAGCCAGAGACCACAGCUGUGUCUGCAGACACAAAAGCAUAUGUCUUCUGAAGUUCUCAAACCCCAGACCCAACCUACAUCAUACUGUACUGAGGUCCAGCAGUACAAUUGCCAAGACUAAGGUUUUAGUCAUACCUGGGCUGAACACAAAGAGGUUAAAAGUAGACGGCCUCCUGUUGAUUGGGGCAUACUCUUCACCUUUCUGGGAAAACUGGAUCUCAUAUGUCCACAGGCACCUGAGGAGGGAUGGGUCUGUACUGAAGCUGGUGCUAGCUAAACUCUGAAGGCCUGGAUGGGUGGGAUAGGGUGGACCCACAACCCUAUACUCUUCAGGUCCCUUGCUAACACAUCCAAGGUCCCUGGGCACUCUCAAAAUUGUGACAGGACACACUGAGGGAAUUGGAGACUAUCACUGUAGGUGAUCUCCAACUCAGACACAAGUGGGUCUGUGCAGGUGUGUACAGUGUGUAUAGAACACACGACAGCAGAGGGUCUGUGCAGGUGUGUACAGUGUGUAUAGAACACAUGACAGCAGAGGGUCUGUGCAGGUGUGUACAGUGUGUAUAGAACACAUGACAGCAGAGGGUCUGUGCAGGUGUGUACAGUGUGUAUAGAACACACGACAGCAGAGGGUCUGUGCAGGUGUGUACAGUGUGUAUAGAACACACGACAGCAGAGGGUCUGUGCAGGUGUGUACAGUGUGUAUAGAACACACGACAGCAGAGGGUCUGUGCAGGUGUGUACAGUGUGUAUAGAACACAAAACAGCAGAGGGUCUGUGCAGGUGUGUACAGUGUGUAUAGAACACACGACAGCAGAGGGUCUGUGCAGGUGUGUACAGUGUGUAUAGAACACAUGACAGCAGAGGGUCUGUGCAGGUGUGUACAGUGUGUAUAGAACACACGACAGCAGAGGUCUGUGCAGGUGUGUACAGUGUGUAUAGAACACGUGACAGCAGAGGGUGUGUGCAGGUGUGUACAGUGUGUAUAGAACACAUGACAGCAGAGGGUCUGUGCAGGUGUGUACAGUGUGUAUAGAACACAUGACAGCAGAGGGAGAUGAAUGAUUACUAAGGUGAUGACAUAGAAAAGGAGGACCACCCCACUCACGCACUUGGAGCCCACACGCUCAUCUGACCAGACCAAAAUCAGCUGUCCAUGUGUCAGGGGCAGUGCACGGAGCCGGCUGACCUGUAAGGAGGGAGUAGCUAUGAAGGUCUGAGCUAGCCAGCCUCACAGGUAGGGUAGGAGGCUGCCACUUGCCUGCCCAGGUGGCUUCAAGGGGCGUGUGCAUACAUGCACCAGCAGGAGUGAUGGCACCGGAAGCUUCCGGUGUAGGGUCAGGCGGCCCCUAGCAGGAAAGGGGCGUGGUGCCUCAGCCACGGGGUCCUGGGGAUAAUGAAGGGCCCGUGGUUGGCAAAUCUCAGUACCUAAGAAACCCCUCCCUCCCUCCCUCCCUCCCUCCCUCCCUCCCUCCCUCCCUACUUGCCCACAAACCUCCACCAUGCGCAUACGUCGGAACUGCUCUGCAGAGGGGAAGACUGGCUGGCCCAUGUGCUGCCACGCACUGUAGGGGCUGCUGAGUUGAUUGUCUAAGUAGAGUACUAUGUAGACAAGAUCUGUGGAACCAGACACCAUGGUUUGCCUCCCUGGGCCCACUACAGCUGGGUUCCCACCUUCUUUCAGAACCCCACUCACCCAAGCCAGGAGGUACCCCACGCAGGCGAAGAGUCACAGGGAUACUGUGGUUGGGGUGUGCGUGGGUGUCAUCACUAGUGUAGAUGAGGACUGUGGUACUCCAGGCCGCUGCGGAGCCUUCAGGGUGAUGGGUGCUGGCCAGGACACCCACUGUAUGAUUGCUGUCCAACACAGCCCCAGCCUUUGAGACCUCUGCCCAGAGUUGUUCUCCAUCUAUAAGCCAAGCAGAGGGCUGAGGCUGUUGGCUCUCUCAUACCUAGCAUCUGGCUUCCUACCCUAAUAUCUAGCUCCCACCAUUUGUAUACUGGGAGUCUGUUAUACUGUUCAGCCCACAGGAUGGGAGGAGAUGAAGAGGUAGAAAUUUGGAAAACCAACCUAAGAAACUCACACAGCAGCUGGAGGAAAUAUGCUUUUGCACCUUCCCAGCAUGUUCCCUCAAUACAGGAUGUGCCAGGCUUUACAUGGUCUUUUUCACUUUGUGACUCAGCACAUACAGAAGCAAGGUCAUUACUCACCCAACAGGGCCAUGAGCCCCAUGACUGUGAGUACUGGCUUUCGCAGCAACUGCACGUGGGGUGGGUGAGUAUUGUUGACCUGGAAUCGAGCAGUAAGUGUGCGCUGGGAGAAAGGGUACGGGUGGUAGCUCAGGAAGGCAUUGUCAUUGCUGAGGAGCACAUAGCGCAUGGAGGAACUGCUGUUGGCAAACAGCAGGUUCUGGUGCUGUGCAAUGACCUGUGGAUGUGAAGACAGUUGGAACCUGUAUCACUGGCCACUGGUACUGUCCCCACCCCCACCAAGGAAGGCCUCCUGAGGUUGGAGGAGGCAUGAUGGCAAGGACCCACCUUCACCACCAGGGCCGCAUAAGUCACAUCAGCUCUCCAAGGUUGUGGCAGGGACCAGCCCACCAGAGGGUCUGCCUCGUCAUUGUAAAUAGGGGUAUCCUUGAACUCAGGGAAGAGCUGCUGGACCUGCUCCACAACUGCCAUCUCCUGCUCCAGGAUGGCGAUGGAGCUACCUGCACCCUGAGCCAGCACAUACCUCACUCAGUACAGGCUCAGCUCAAAGGAGGCAGGGAGGGGUGGGAGCACCACACACCUUCUUGUGCAGGGAGAUGUAAUCCAGACGCACGCCCACCUCGCCAGUGAAGAAGUUGGUUCCAUUGGCACAGUGACCCAGGAGGCUCCAGCACAUUGGUGACCUUGGCAGGGGGUGGAAGGAAUCCCCAGGACCACCCAACUUCAAAGUGGGGCUGGCAAUGCGCAGCCCCUCAGAGCAGGCAUCAUAGUAAUUCAGGAAGCCUAGGGCAGGAGGGUCUUGAGGGUCUGGGAUUGUCCUGCUUCCCUCUCAUACAGCCCACCCAACAGGGUCUGGAAAAACGCUGCCUACCUUGUGUGGUCAUGGACACGUUGUCAAAGUCAUGGUGGUCUGGUUCAUUCCAAGUCUCAAAGUUCCACUUGGAAACGUGUGUCAGCCCAUACCUACCUGCAGAGGGAGCUCUACUCUCAGGUUUGGGGAUGGAGCCCACCUGGUAUCUCCUAGGACCCAUGAAUUGUGUGUGUGUGUGGGGGGGGGGAGGGGUUCCACUUGAAUGGGAUUACCUGGCUUCAAGCAAGUACCCUACCCCACCCCUAUCAGGUGAAUCUCUCACCCAUCAGGCAUCUCAGGCUAGGGAAUAGUGAUGUCUUUGGCAGAGAAGACCACGAGGUGGCCUGGGUGAUCAAGGAGGAGAACCUCCCGGGGACAACCCACUACAGUCCCCAGGAUUUCCCCCUUCUAUUCACCAAUGUAUCUCCUGGCCAAGAGAGAAACCAGGUCCUUCCAUUCAAACACCUGCUGCUUGUCAUCAAAGUCCGUGAAGUACCCAGAAGGACUGCCCAUGAGCUCAAAUCCUGAAACACACAAGAGUAGUUGUCCCAUCAUACCCAACUAUUUCAGUUAGUGCUGAGAUAGCACCACCCUCCAGGACAGAGAAUGGCGGGUGGUGGGAGAACGCUGGGCCAUUGCUCACCAGGGAGAAGCUGGUUCUCCAUGAGAAGGUCCAAGAAUGCAUCCAAGUGGGUGAAGUUGUACAUAAGUCCCUGCCCAGGUGACUUCCUGUGAGGGGGGGGGGAGGUCAGUCCUGGAGAGAGCAGCAGUAUUUCUCCACACUCUGGUUUAAAACUAGGGCCACACUCAAGCAUAUGGGGGCCCCAAGUUCUCAGGGAGAGCCAGGAUACCAGAUGGGCUUUCUUUCCCUUUGGAAAAGACUAGCAUUGUGAAAGUCUGACAUGUUUGAGUAUGUAUGAGUAUGUGUACAUAGAACCCUACACUAAGCCUUAAAGACCCUGAAAACUUGGGGAAACUAUGAAAGCUUCUAUCAC